UACGUAGGGUGCGAGCGUUGUCCGGAAUUACUGGGCGUAAAGAGCUCGUAGGUGGUUUGUCGCGUUGUUCGUGAAAACUCACAGCUCAACUGUGGGCGUGCGGGCGAUACGGGCAGACUGGAGUACUGCAGGGGAGACUGGAAUUCCUGGUGUAGCGGUGGAAUGCGUAGAUAUCGAGGGGAACACCUGCGGCGAAGGCGGGUUGCUGGGCCGACACUGACGCUGAUGCGCGAAAGCCAGGGGAGCGAACGGG
rnacentral:rRNA from 1 species